GCCGGGCGUGGUGGCUCACGCCUGUAAUCCCAGCACUUUGGGAGGCCGAGAUGGGUGGAUCAUUUGAGGUCAGGAGUUCAAGACCAGCCUGGCCAACAUGGUGAAACCCCAUCUCUA
rnacentral:sRNA from 1 species